rnacentral:rRNA from 1 species
CGGGGAAUAUUGCGCAAUGGGCGAAAGCCUGACGCAGCAACGCCGCGUGAGGGAUGAAGGCUCUCGGGUUGUAAACCUCUUUCAGCAGGGACGAUUGUGACGGUACCUGCAGAAGAAGUCCCGGCCAACUACGUGCCAGCAGCCGCGGUAAUACGUAGGUGGCGAGCGUUGUCCGGAUUUAUUGGGCGUAAAGAGCCCGCAGGCGGCUUGGUAAGUUUUGGGUGAAAUCUCCCGGCUCAACUGGGAGGGCGCCCGGAAAACUACCAGGCUUGAGGCAGGGAGAGGGAUGUGGAAUUCCCGGUGUAGUGGUGAAAUGCGUAGAUAUCGGGAGGAACACCAGUGGCGAAGGCGGCAUCCUGGCCCUGUCCUGACGCUCAGGGGCGAAAGCGUGGGGAGCAAA